CGACUCUCGGCAACGGAUAUCUAGGCUCUCGCAUCGAUGAAGAACGUAGCAAACUGCGAUACUUGGUGUGAAUUGCAGAAUCCCGUGAACCAUCGAGUCUUUGAACGCAAGUUGCGCCCGAAGCCAUUAGGCCGAGGGCACGUCUGCCUGGGCGUCAC
rnacentral:rRNA from 1 species